UGAGUAACACGUAUCCAACCUGCCGUCUACUCUUGGACAGCCUUCUGAAAGGAAGAUUAAUACAAGAUGGCAUCAUGAGUCCACAUGUUCACAUGAUUAAAGGUAUUCCGGUAGACGAUGGGGAUGCGUUCCAUUAGAUAGUAGGCGGGGUAACGGCCCACCCAGUCUUCGAUGGAUAGGGGUUCUGAGAGGAAGGUCCCCCACAUUGGAACUGAGACACGGUCCAA
rnacentral:rRNA from 1 species